UGCGGGGUAGAGCAACUUGGAAGCUCGUCGGGCUCAUAACCCGGAGGUUGCUGGUUCAAAUCCGGCCCCCGCAACCA
rnacentral:tRNA from 1 species